GCAAGCCUGGGAGCAUGGCUUAAAACUGCUUUGUGGGUUUCUGUAAUGGGUCCCAAGAUGAGGAGAAGGUGUUAGAUUUAGCACAAAAGCUCAUCUUGUCUCCCCUGUUCCUGCUGGAGUCGCGCUGAAGUGGUGCCUGGGAACAAGUGAGAGCUCAAUCGCUUCUAAUAAAGCAGUAUUGAGAAACAUAAUUGAUGGGAGACUUAUACAAGGUUUGCUUCCUGAUUUCAUAAUUGAUAAAGCUGAGACGGUGAAACCUAACUGUUGAAGGGUGGAAGGUGUGAACCUGCUCAAGCAGGUACA
rnacentral:lncRNA from 1 species